GUAUAUUGAGAGCAAGCUGGUUGUGACAUCUGUCAACCCCACUGAUUGCCAGAAUUGAUUUGCUGGAUCUGUCCUGCUAAGAUGGUGUCCCAUUUCUUCCUGACUCUGCCACAUGUGUUUUUCCAAAAGCUGGACACUUCAUUGGAGAGGAUGAUUUUUCUAGAUAAAGACCACUGUCUACAGA
rfam:Chlorocebus sabaeus isolate 1994-021 chromosome 20, whole genome shotgun sequence.